AUGCACUCGUGAGUUUUUCAAAGACUUCAAAUAGCACUCGUCCUUCCGACUCGUGCUACUUUGAAGUCUUUGAAAAACUCACUCGUGCAU